rnacentral:lncRNA from 1 species
UAGCCCGCUCUCCUUGUGGGCAGCGUUCAACCCUUCCGUGACUCUUUUUUUUCCCCCUGACAACUUUUGAGGUCUUUCUUCUGAAACCAAGAAGAAAUAGACAAACCAGGUUUGUCCUCUUGGGAAUGUGGUCCAGAUUUCUCUACUCCCAAUCUCCAAAAAA